UAUUCUCCUGCAGAUAAUUCAGUCUUCCUUUUCGCUUCACAUAUGACGGACGAGGAAACACUGUUUCUGAUCGGAGAUCAUAAUGAGUGACUUCAUUUCCCGCUUGUCUUCUCUGCCAGUUUUAUUAAUUUCUAUUAUCUUUAAUGCAACCAAGAGGGAGCACCAUCCAAUGUUUAAGCAUGCUGCUCACAAGUCCAGAUGAAUGCAGGAAGUUGUCAGGAACAGCAUCCAACAUAAAGUCAAAUUAAAUAUAUUUGGACUAAAAUAAGGCUUGAUUAUUUAGGAUGGAGAGGACAGGAUUAGAUUGAUACAGAUGAUUCACUGUGAUGACCCCUGAAGGAAGCGUUGGAAGGCAAAGACAAUUCUGAUUGUAAUCUAAAAAGAAAGUAUGUUUUUCCUACUUUUUUAUUGUUGUUAUUAACUCUUAUUACAUAAGAGCAUAUUCAAAUUAUAUAUAUUUUAUUCUAACCCUAAAGAAAGAGUAAAUUCCAUUCAUACAUUUUGGUAUUUUUAAUAGGCGAUUUUCAAAAUCUAAAAAUAUUCCCCAAGAAACUAUAAUAAUCCCAUAACUGCAAUCCCGAAACUGCAAAGCAAAUCCAGGUAGGUUAUGAUGGGAAAAACAAUCUUUUAUACGGCUGUUUCUUGAUUCCUCACAGAAAACUGGAGGAGCAUGACUCCAGUUCUCAAAAUAACCACAUGGGUAACGCCACCUUUGACAUCAGGGAGGCCACUACCAAACCCAUACAUUUCUUCUUCUUUGCGGAUAAGAGGAGGUAUCCUCGUUCUUCUGGCAGUCAUCAACAGCACUUUCUUCAUCUGGAGACAAUGUGGAUUGAAAAGAAGAGAAGUUGAGAGACAAAGCCACAUCUAUGAGAUACCAUAAGGAGGAUGAUAAGAGUCGACAAAAGCAGGUCCAGGAAGCUUAACUCAGAGUAUCACAUCACAGACUCUUCUGAUAAAUGAAAGCUCAUUUUUUUGUUUGUUUUACUGCCACCUGCUGGAGAAAUUGAGAAAGGUGUUAGUUUUUCUUCACACUCUUUUUGUGUGUUUUGCUGAGAUGCCACAAACAUCCAGCAGAGGGCGGCAAAAUUAAUUUAGUGCAGCAAAAAAAAGACAAAUUCUCCACAAGAAGUACAGAUGGGUUUACAAAUGACUGUUUACUGGACUUUUGCUUUAAAUGUGGUUCUCAAUUGGCUAGCCUAAAGCCCAAAUCUAUUGAAGAUAACAAUCAAAAGUAAAUAAAGAAAUAUAAAGAAAUGUUUUUAUUGUGUUUGUCUCUUUUCUUAACAGAAUGUGUUGUGUUUGUUCAAUCAAUAAUGAGAUGGUAAAACACUUUUUUGUGUGCAGAUCAUUUGUUCUAUUUGGGUGGGAGCAAAAUUUGUUAAAGUUGGUGAAUUUUUGGUCUUAGAUGAGUUUGUAUUGCCCCAAUUUCCUGCAGAAAAAUUCCUCCAGCAACAAUUACAUUAAAACUAUCCAUCCGUGAAACGCUGGUGGUUCUACAACUGUUGUUUUCCAAAAUGCUUCCCAUCUUUAAAAACAAUCCAUUUUCUUUUUUUUUUUUUUUACGUUGCAGUAACUUCAAGCUCCAGAAAUAUUUUGGGUUUUAAAACUACAAAAAGCUUUUAGGGGAAAUAAAACCUCAUUUUUAAUUAUCUUUUCACCGUUUAAAAGUGUGGAUUGUUACAUCACAGCAGAGUCCUUUCAUCACUGAGACAGCGGCCAGUGUGAGAACAUAUAUAGUAUAUAGUCCCUGUUAACACUACAACCACCAAGGCAGCAAAGUGUGAAAAAUCUACGGACUAAAACUAAUGUGUAUUUUACUAUAACAUUAAAAUGUAAAAAAAAAAAAUAGAUUCAAGUACUGACUCCAUGAUUUUCACAGAUGAUAUCAUCAAUUUUACUAUUUCAACAUUUUCCUGACCUUUCUCCAGCUCUAUUGUCUUUUUUUUUAUACUCGAUGAAGCUAAAGUCUGGAUAUAGUUUCUAAACUCAAGAGAGAGAAGAUGGCAAGUGGGAAAAAAAAGACUUCCAGGAAGAGUCUAAAAGCGAACCAAUGUCCGUUUUCAUAUCCUGACUUUUUUUUUCCUUUUUUUUACCCAUUUUCCCAAAUACACUUUGAUCUUUUUGAAUAUAACUGUAAUUCUAUACAAAUAAAGAAAACGGCUGUUUCUAGUUGAUCAAGUUUAAACUGUGAUGACUACUUAAACUUACAUUUAGGGGUUGGUGUUCUGUGACCGCAUGCUAACGUUCGCGCUAACUUCAUCUGUUGCCUAACAACAUUGCUUCUCACUUCCUCUGUUGCUGUAGAAAAGAGAAGAAAUAGUAGCAGUUCAUAGGGGUUAGUACAAAAGGUCAGAUGUAUGGAGGAGGAAGAGGUGUUAGAGCAGGAGGAGAAGCAGAAAUCCAACUCUACGUGGACUACAUCAACUAUGGCAACAGCAAGUUCAUUAUCAUACACAAGGAUGCUUCUGUUUCUGGGGAUAAGAGCAACCAUUAUUUUUCUUUUCACCAUCAUCAUUGUCCUCAUCAUGAUUAUCACUUUCCCUUCCUGGAUAGAAUGUGGAUUGAAAAGAAGAGAAGCUGAUAGAAAAAAGUCUCGUCUGAGACAUCGUAUGGACAACGACAACAACCUGGAGAUGGAAAUAAUUGAUGUACAAAGCUCAACUGAAGUAUCCACUGUGUAUGAAACCAUAAACCCUUCCCGUUAAAGACGACUUUUGGUUUUUGUGUUACUGCUGCGUACUUAAGAAAGAGAGAAGACAACUAUUCCUUCUUUAGUUAAUUUAGCUUGAUGCUUAAAAUGAAAAAACAAUCUGUAUCUUGAUUAUAAGCUUCCAUAUUUGUGACCUCUAUGUUUGACGUUCAUGUUUAUUCCAAGUAAACAAAAGAAAUCCAGAUAAUUAUUAUAGAACUUAAAUUCUUUAUUUAUAUUACCCAGUGCUCUUUGUUAUGUUUUUAUUAUUUAAAGGGGGGAAAAAUCUCCUAAAAACCUGUUUGUUGUUCUUCAAACUCAAGAAAAAUGUUUGUUUUGCUGCGAUACCACAAACAUCCAGUAGAUGGCAGCAAAAUGCAUUUAGUGCAGCUAGAAAGUCACAUAUGUGCUACAAUAGAUACAGAUUGCUUAACAAUUACUGUUUAUUACACUUUAAAUGUGUUUUUUAAGUGGAUAAAAUAAAUUCAAAGUCAAGUGUAUGAAAGCAAGGGUUUGGGGAUAUGAUACGAAUGCCAACACAGUACCAGAAACCAUAUUUCACUAGUUUAUUUUCAAUAUUUGUUCUUAAAAGGAGCAGUCAGUAUUGUCUGAUUUCAACUACAAAAUAUUUUUCAGAAUGAGGGAAAAAAAAGAAGAAAUGUGACUUAACAAAUUAAGUUCUACAAGUAUGGCUGAGACAAUAAAGUGCUGUUUAUUUUCAAUAUUUAUGAAUGUAGCUGAACUUUUAAAAUAGUCCGAGUGCCUAAAUGUUCCUUAAACAGGUAAUUCUCUAUUUUUUUUUCUUGAAGCAUCCUUGAAUAAGGUCACAAAGCAUUAACAUUUGUGUUCUUAUACUGCACCAGUAAUAACUUGGCACAUAGGUUUGUACCAUUAUAUAUUAAGUCUAUGGUUUGUACCCAUUGUUGGUUUUGGUGGAUGUAGAACUGCUCAAAGAGACUCGGUGCGGUGUGCUGCCACCUAGUGGUGGGAGGUUUAGGUGGAAAAAAAAAGAGUAAGAUGCUGAACUGCAUGUUUGCGUGUAAAUACAUAAUUAGAUAUCACCUCUGCAGCAUUUUGAAGUAUUGCCAAAAGAUUUAUCUUUAUUUCUUUUUUAUUUUUUUAUCUUUUAACAAGAGUGGGAAGAUAAACCACUAGAGAUGGGACAUCUCGUUUUCAAGAGGGUCCUUCAUUUCACGAAAUCAUGAGAUUUCUAUCUAUAUCUAUAUUCUAUAUCAAUUUUUAUUGCGGUUUAAAAAAGGUCUGUAUUGAUUUUUAACAU